UGAAGUUGCUGAUGCCAUACUUCCAGGAAAAGCCUCUAAGCUUCAGAUUAUACCGAAUCGUACCCCAAACCGACACAGGUGGUCAGGUAGAGAAUACUAAGGCGCUUGAGAGAACUCGGGUGAAGGAACUAGGCAAAAUCGUACCGUAACUUCGGGAGAAGGUACGCUCCUAUCUGUGAUGAGACUUGCUCUCUAAGCGGACGGGAGCCGCAGUGACCAGGUGGCUGGGACUGUUUAUUAAAAACACAGCACUGUGCAAAAUCGCAAGAUGACGUAUACGGUGUGACACCUGCCCGGUGCCGGAAGGUUAAUUGAUGGGGUUAGUUUUCGGACGAAGCUCUUGAUCGAAGCCCCGGUAAACGGCGGCCGUAA
rnacentral:rRNA from 1 species